UGGCCCUCAUUAACAGGCGCUGCCUGCAGGAGGGAAGGGAUGCCUGCACCUGGCCUCAACAGGCGUACCGGCUGUUUGAGGUGAAAGCAGUGAAGAUUUUGGGAGAAAAAUGUUACGUCUUCAUGUGACUGCAGGAGGGAGAAAAGGAUACACAGAGGACCUGAAAUUCUCCAGCGAUGUUGCACAGUAUCUCAGGAUAUACUCCAAACCUGGUGCACCGCUGCAAAAACUCUGAUUUAUCUCAGCAUUCCCAAAAGUGUUAUUUUCUAUGGGUAAGAUUGCAUAGCUAUGUCUGCUGCUUGAUUCCAUUUUCUUUAGAAAAAUGUUCAAUGCUGUGCCCCAUACUUUCAGGCUCUCUGUAGCUGACUAAAACGGUGGAUAUCUUCCUAAAAUAGAUAGCCUGUUUCAACCACAAAUUGAUAGGGCUUUGACUAGAUAGAAUUAUAUGUGGUGCAGAAGGUCAGAUGGAUGAUCGUAAUUGUCCUGCUUGGCUUUAGAUCAUUGGAUUUACCUGAGUACUAAGUCUCUCCAUUCAGCAUGAUUCAAGAGAGUAAAAUCCAGAGCUCUGUAAAAUAGGAAUUGUACAUUCAACCAAAUGGAGAAUGGAUGAGUAUAGACAUAUGGCAGAUUCAUUUUUUCAGGCUGUUGAUAAUCUCAAAGAACAUGUAGUAACAGAACAAAUCAGCAUGUUGGUGGAGGUUCCCCCGCCACCCACAGCGAAUGAUAUUUUGGGGCAUAUGAAUAGGAGUCAAUUACAAUAACACAUCCCUUUCAAUCUGAGUAAUUUCUACUGAAAUCCAAGAUGACUACUGUCAAAAGGAGAUGUACAAAGGCAUAGCAUUCUUUCUGCUGUAUACUGCAAAUACAUGCAAGAGAAGGCAAAUCACUUAAGGACUCUCUUGGAAGAAUUAACUUAGUGGAAAUAUGAAUGUCAGUUUCCUGACAUAGUUUAAAUGUUAAAUGACAGAUAACCUAGGAGCACCCAAGCUAGAUGGCAAAGCUUUAUUGUAUGAUACUGUCUGACAAUGAAGUCCUGCAUCUUGACAAUUGAAUUAAAAUAUUUCUUCACA